rnacentral:rRNA from 1 species
UAGGGAAUCUUCCGCAAUGGGCGAAAGCCUGACGGAGCAACGCCGCGUGAGUGAUGAAGGUCUUCGGAUCGUAAAACUCUGUUAUUAGGGAAGAACAAAUGUGUAAGUAACUAUGCACGUCUUGACGGUACCUAAUCAGAAAGCCACGGCUAACUACGUGCCAGCAGCCGCGGUAAUACGUAGGUGGCAAGCGUUAUCCGGAAUUAUUGGGCGUAAAGCGCGCGUAGGCGGUUUUUUAAGUCUGAUGUGAAAGCCCACGGCUCAACCGUGGAGGGUCAUUGGAAACUGGAAAACUUGAGUGCAGAAGAGGAAAGUGAAAUUCCAUGUGUAGCGGUGAAAUGCGCAGAGAUAUGGAGGAACACCAGUGGCGAAGGCGACUUUCUGGUCUGUAACUGACGCUGAUGUGCGAAAGCGUGGGGAUCAAACAGG